CAAAAUAAAACUCCUGUCAAACGUGUAAAAUGAGCGAAAUAAUCAAAAUAUUUGGUAACUUUGUCAAAAUGAUUAAACGAGAUACUAUUUUCCUGGUGUAGCAGCAGUAGGGAUACAACGAGGAAAAAGCUAUACGGGCAGCGACCUCGUAUGGCAGAUGCGCGGCUCCUUGCUGGGGCCAUUCCAACAUGGUGCCUUCGCCUUGCCGGCAUCAACCGUCGCCAACUUCUUGCACUCCGUACCCUUAUACAAAAUUAAACUUGGGUACCACAAUUACAAUCUCACGGUAGGAUGGAGGAAAUGAAAAGCUGGUUUUUCGGAUUCGAGUACCUGGAUUACUUCUGGGCGAUUCUAUUAUCGUUUAUAAUGGAAAGAAUCUGCUGCUUGCAAGAACAAUUUACCAGAGACUAUAUAGUGCUCCCAGACCCACCGACAAAUGACGACGACUCAUAUCAUUCAAUAAACUUAGAAGAAUUCUCAGAUAGAGAUGGUUCACUGAAGCUAAGUUUUCUGCGGCUGUGCCAGUUAUCACAGGUGACCAUAUUCCUGACACUCGUCUACUUCUUCAACAUUUGCUUCUGGUUUGUACUGACGAAGAAGGCUUUGCCCAAGUACAGUAGCGUACAGUGCACAGUGCUCACAAGCAAGGUCGCGCGCCGGGUGCACGCAGCCGCAGUGCCGGAAGGAGUCUUGGGUGCUCUCAGCCAGCUUGCACGCUCCGUAAGAGUAUACCUAAAAACUCGAAACACUUACUUUAUAUAGUACAUUUACUUUUUAAUAGUAAUAUGAAAACUUUGUAAUCAGACAAAACAAUAAAGAAAGAACAAGGCGUACCUACAAUUUUUACGGCUAUCGAGUACCUACGUACUUUCUUCUUCGUCAACUUAAUGAUUCACACUAGGUAUUAGUAUCUAUGUAGGUUUAUUUGUAUUAAGUAUAUGUGUAAGUUUAUCAACAUACUUAAAAUUCAUAUAUGUAUAGUUUUGGUUACAAAUUCAUUUACUUUAAAGACACUGCACCUACUUAAUCUUUCUGGUUUGACCCAUUGGUUGACUGGUAGAGAAUGCCUUAAGGCAUUAAGUCCGCCAUUUGUACUUUCAUGUAUUGUGCAAUAAAGAUUAAAAUAAAUAAA